rnacentral:tRNA from 1 species
GGAGGCGUGGUGUAGCGGUUAACAUGUUGGCCUGUCAAGCCAAAGAUCGCGGGUUCGAAUCCCGUCGCUUCCGCCA